UGGUUCGGGGAUCGCGUCAGCGUAAUCGAGGCAGCCAAGAAACAUCCAGGGACCCUUUCGCCACCACGGACCCGGCACGUCCGACUGGGCAGGUGACGCCGCCGAGACGCAAGGUGACCCGGACCCAGCGCCCUUCUUGCCUCCCACUGCAUCCCGCUGCUGUCAAGCUGCUCCGUACCAUCCUUCAACGUUCCGGCCUGGCUCGCGACCACCUACACGGCGACAACGACGGUCUGCAGCUAGAGCUGCUCCCUCACCAACAUGGAUGGACUCAAACCGUGUUGCUGUCGGAGUAGCAUGUCCCUCUCGCAGGAAAGCCUCAGGUGACGGCGGCCUCUUAGCGGCUAAAGGGUUAUUUUAAGGAGGGGGGGAUGUGGGGAUCGCACGCGCGUCCCGAUAUCUCCGGAGCGGCCACGCGGUUAUCACGCGAUAAUCACGUGCUCGCUCGCGGAGGGUAGCGGGGAGAGGGCACUUUCGUCGCUCCCGCUGCUCUUCGCGCCUGGCCGUGACGCUGCAGCCAAGGCACCCCGUUCCCUCCUUUCCCUUUCUUGGAACCGGGCAGACUCCUCUCCGCCGCUCGGGAGAAGCGCUAUUCCCCCGACGCAUCUGGGUCUCACGGCGGAAGAGCUAGCGAACGGCCGCAUCUCAAAUCAGCCGCUGAGACCGCCGCACGCCGUCCCCCUGUGGCGCCCGGACCUUGGUGUGCGACUCACCGCCCCAGGGCCCGAGCGCGGAUCCACUUUUGGCGCACGCAAGAGGCCGUGUUUCUACUAGAAAUCUCACCUUCGUGCACAGCGUUCGCCGCCUGCGUUUCCCGGUACCUUUCCGGCCUCCGGUCGCGGAACCUGCCACAACGUUGCGAGGCACUCGGGGCCGCAGCAGGCCUGUAGUGGCUGCCGCCCAAUCAGGCGCAGCAGAUACACGCAGGAGCAUUCCAGUCUGCU